rnacentral:rRNA from 1 species
AACACUAAUUUAUAUAACUUGUUAAAAAUCAAGAAAUAUUCGAAAAAUAAUUAAGAAAAAUAAUUUGAAAUGUAAAAGAUUGUUAGUAAUUUUUAAUAAAUUCAAGUAAUUUUAACUAUAGCUUAAAGUACUGUAAAGGAAAGCAGAAAAAACUAUAAUAGUAAAUUUAAAAUUUUGUACCUUGUGUAUCAGGGAGGAUCUAUAUAAAUUAACAAUAAUUAAAUAUCUCGAAAUAAAAUAUAGCUAAUUUUAUAAUUUUUUUUUUGUAAAAAAUAAAUUUUUAAUAUAAAAUUAAAGGUGAAACGCUAAACGAGUUUUAUAAUAUCUAGUUUUUUAAAAUCAAAUUUAAUUUUAUCUUUGUAUUUAUAAAUAUAAAGUUUAAGUGUAGGAGGGAUUAGCUUCUUAUAAAUUUGAACGCUAAAUAGUUAAAUAUAAAUAAAUCUAUUAAAUUAAGCUUAAGAGUAGCUAUAUUAAUAAAGUGUUUUAACUAAAUUGGGACCUUAUAAUAUAUAAAUAUUUAAAUAAUUACUUUUUUUAGCAUUAAAAAAUUAAUUAAAACUUAACUAAUUAAGCUAUAAUGAUUUCUAUUAGUACAAAUUUAUUGUGAAUAAAAAUAUUUAAAAUAAUAAAAAUGAUAUAAAAGUUUAUAUGGCAGUAUCAAGUAACUCGGCAAAAAUUGUUUCUUUGCCUGUUUAUCAAAAACAUGUCUGUUUGGAGGUAUAAAAAGUUUAACCUGCCCACUGAUUAAUAUAAUAUAUUAAAUGGCCGCGGUAUUUUGACCGUGCAAAGGUAGCAUAAUCGUUAGUUUUUUAAUUGGAAUCUUGUAUGAAUGGUUGGACAAAAGAAAAUCUGUCUCUAUAUUGGUUAUCGAAUUUAACUUUUAAGUGAAAAGGCUUAAAUAAAUUAAAGGGACGAUAAGACCCUAUAAAGCUUAAUAUUAAAAUUUUAUUUAGUUAAAUUUUAUACUAUAAAAACUUCGUAAUUAAAUUUAUUUUAUUGGGGCGAUAAAAGUAAAAUUAUUAUUACCUGCUUAAUUUUUAAUACAUAAAUUGAUGAUUAAAUUUUUAAAUGAUCCUAAAUAAAGAUUAAAAGUUUAAGUUACUUUAGGGAUAACAGCGUUAUUUUUCUUGAGAGUACUUAUCGAAAGAAAAGUUUGCGACCUCGAUGUUGAAUUAAAAUAUCUUUAUAAUUGUAGCAGUUAUAAUAGUAGGUCUGUUCGACCUUUAAAAUUUUACAUGAUUUGAGUUCAAACCGGCGUGAGCCAGGUUGGUUUCUAUCUUUUAAUGAUAAAAAAUUAUUUUAGUACGAAAGGAUUGAAUAAUUAAAAUUAUUUUUUAAUUGGUU